GAUUAAUAAAUAGUUAUUAAUUUUUUUUUUUUUUUAUAUUUUAUUAAUUAAAAUAAUUUUAAAUUGAUUUUGUUUUGUAUAUUUUAUAAAUAAAAUAAUAUUUGUGAUAGUUAAAUUGUAUAGUAAUAGGAAUAUUAAAUAUUAAUUAAAGAAUUUAUAUAGUAAGAAAAUUUAAUUUAUUGUACCUUGUGUCUCAGGGAUAAUUAAUUAAUAUAUUUAUAUUUAAAUGUAUCUCGAUUAUAAAAGAUUUAUUAUUUUAUUUUUUAUAGUGUGGUAUAAUUAUAUAUAAUAAAAUAAUGGAAAUGAAAUGUUAUUCGUUUUUAUUUAUAUCUAGUUUUUUAAGAAAUAAAUUUAAUUUAUAUAUUUAGAUGAUAAUAAUUUAUUUUAUAAUUAUAUUAAAUUUAAAUAUAAAUUAUUAAAGGGAUAAGCUUUUAAUAAAAUUUUUAAAAAUUUUAUUAAAUUUAAAUAAAUAUAGAUUUAGAAUUAGUCAUUGUUAAUAAAUAUGUAAUAAUUUAUUUUAUUAUUAUUAUUGUAUUAUUUAUUUAAUUUUAAUUAUUAUAUUAAAAAUAUUAUUUAAAUUAAUUAAAUGAAGGUAUAAUGAUUAUAUUAGUAAAUUUAAUUUAAAAUAUAUUUAUAUUAAUUAUAUUUAAUUAAAUAAUUAGGCAAAUUAAAUAUUCACUUGUUUAUCAAAAACAUGUCUUUUUGAAGUUGUAUCUAAGGUUUGGCCUGCCCACUGAUUAGUUAUUUAAAUGGCCGCAGUAUUUUAACUGUGCAAAGGUAGCAUGAUCAUUAGUUUUUUAAUUGAAAACUUGUAUGAAUGGUUGAAUGAAAUAUUUACUGUUUUGAUUAAAUUAAUUGAAUUUUAUUUUUUAGUAAAAAAGCUAAGAUUUUAUUAAAAGACGAGAAGACCCUAUAGAGUUUUAUAUUUAAUUUAUGAGAGUUUUAUAGAUUUUUUUAUUAAUUUUUAUUGUAUUAAUAUAUUUAAUUGGGGUGAUAUUAAAAUUUGGUUAACUUUUAUUUUUAUAAAUAAUAAUAUUUAGAUUAAUGAUCCAUUGGUUAUGAUUAAAAGAUUAAAUUACCUUAGGGAUAACAGCGUUAUUUUUUUUUUAAGUUCAUAUUUAUAAAAAAUUUUGCGACCUCGAUGUUGGAUUAAGAUUAGUUUUAGGUGCAGAAGCUUAUAAUUUUAAGUCUGUUCGACUUUUAGAUUCUUACAUGAUCUGAGUUCAAACCGGUGUGAGCCAGGUUGGUUUCUAUCUUUAGUUAGUAUAUAAUUUUUAGUACGAAAGGACCAAUAUUAUUAUAUUUUUAUAUAAAAAUUGAAUAUAAGUAAUUAUUUU
rnacentral:rRNA from 1 species